CCACCUACGAGUUUGAGAGAGCUUCUGGAGCAUCUUGGAUACACAGAAACUUAAAGCACUUGGAUAAAAGAGAAUAGAAGAUGAAGACAAAGAUUGGAGCAUCCAAAGUCUUUCUCACAAGACAUGUUAUGAGCUGGUUUCUUCUUCUCUUUCUAUUUUGCCCUAGUGAACAUGUGUGUAGCUUAACUUUAGAUGUGAUUUGGUUAGGGUUCAUGUAUCUUGCUAUGAUUACUCCCUAAAGCACAUAGGGUUGGGCAUGAUUGAUGAUUUGUGGAAUGGAAGUUGUUUUUGUUCUACUUGGCUUGAAGCUCAUUUUGUGUUAUGCCGUGAUUUGGACUAAAUGUUGUGUUUCCAAUUGAAAAGUUUAUUGGUGAGUUCGGCACCUAGCACCACCAUACUUUCUCGAGAUCAUCGAUCAGUGACAAGAACAUGAAAACGUCAAUUCAUAGAAUGAAGUUGAUA
rnacentral:lncRNA from 1 species